GGAGAGAUGCCGGAGUGGUUGAACGGGGCGGUCUCGAAAACCGCUGUCCAACUUAGUUUGGACCGGGGGUUCGAAUCCCUCUCUCUCCGCCA
rnacentral:tRNA from 2 species